GCUCGAAUGGCGGAAUUGGCAGACGCUGUGGACUUAAAAUCCGUUGAAUAAUAAUUCGUGAGGGUUCAAGUCCCUCUUUGAGUA
rnacentral:tRNA from 2 species